GACCCAUGCUGUCCCAUUGAUGUUUCUACGCAAUGUUCCCCACUCUGUGCCCCUCUGUCCCCAUAACAUCCCACACAGUUUUCCUUAUGCUGUCCCCAUGCUGUCCGCAUGACAUCUCCUAUUUCAAAUUGUCCUGAUGUCCCGUACUGCUUUCCCUAGUGUCCCCACCAUGCCUCUGUGAUGUUGCAUUUGCUUUCCCAGUCCUCUCCCCGUUAUGUCUGCCACCACCUUCAUGAUAACUCAUGCUGUCUUUUCAGACUGUCCCCACACUGUCCCUAUGUUGUUUUCCCCAUGCUAUCAGCACAUCAUUCCCAUGCUGUACCUGCACUGUCCCCAAAUCUAUCCAAAUGUUGUCCUCAAACCUGUCGCUCCCUUGUCUCCACCCUAGUCUGCUCUAUCCUCACCCUGUCCCCAUGGUCCCACUGGCUGUGGUGGCAUCCCAUGGUGCUCACCCGCUGUUCCUACAGGUAAAGUGGAUCUUCUCCUCCAUGUUGGAACUGAAGCAGACCAUCGCCCCUGACUACAGGAAUGUGAUCAGGCAGGGGGCUUAGGCCCAACCCCUCAAGGGGCCCAGGCUUCCCAAGCCCUUCCAUGAUUGAAUCCAUUGCUUCCACCAACCCAACCCCCAGGGUCACACCUUCCUCAGACCACCUUCCUCACACCUUCCUCGCUGCCCUCUGACCUUGUGGUUCAGUGACACUGUGCUCCCACCCUCCCUGCGCUGGAGGACUCAUGGAUAGCAGAUGGAGACCAGCCUUGGAUCUAACCGAGUCCACACCAGUCUCCCUAGCACAGGGCAUCUCUGAGAGAGGGACCCUGUGUACUGUUGUUGAUCCUCAGGGCCCACAUUACAGACUGCUGGAUCCAACCCAUAGGGACCGCCUACCCAGUUCUCUAUACACUGGUGAUAAAGAGCUGGACCCAAGACACUACCACCUUCCACAGUGGACCCAGCACCACUCCUAGGAGACACUCAAUGGAGGGUCUGGGCCACACAGUGACUGUAGAACCCCAGCAGGAGCAGGAAAGGAUGGCUGCCACCAUCCAUGCUUCAGGAGUGGUCUAGUGGGCUGGCCCCAGGCAGGCCAGACACAGCCUUCUGGGUCUCAGGGACAGAGGAGGCCCAAGAGCACCUGUCCCAACAAAGGGACAGAUGGACAGCUGCUGAAAGCACCAAGGCUCGACCAGGCCUGUCCUGCAGGACCAGUGUCCACUCCAGAGCACUUAAACCAGGAAACCCCAGCUGGACAAGAUACCACAGAGAGAGCCCAGUGGCCCAGGAGCCAGGGCUGGGCUGGCACUGGACAGAGGACCCGUGUGCCAUGGUCCUGUCCAGCAUGGGGAAGAUUCCAAGCCAGAGCCUCCAGUCAGGAAGAAUGACACAAGCAGGAAAGGAGAGCAGACACCACUCCAUGCUGCGGGAAAAGCCCAGGGAAUCGCCGGUUUCAGCUUUGUAGCUUUCUUCUUCUUGUAGUGUU
rnacentral:lncRNA from 1 species